CCUACGGGAGGCAGCAGUGGGGAAUAUUGCACAAUGAGCGAAAGCCUGAUGCAGCAACGCCGCGUGCAGGAAGACGGUUUUCGGAUUGUAAACUUCUGUUCUUAGUGAAGAAUAAUGGCGGUAACUAAGGAUCAAGCCACGGCUGACUACGUGCCAGCAGCCGCGGUAAUGCGUAGGUGGCAAGCGUUGUCCGGAAUUACUGGGUGUAAAGGGAGCGGAGGCGGGAUGCCAAGUCAGCUGUGAAAACUACGGGCUUAACCUGUAGACUGCAGUUGAAACUGGCUUUCGUGAGUGAAGUAGAGGUUGGCGGAAUUCCGAGUGUAGCGGUGAAAUGCGUAGAUAUUCGGAGGAACACCGGUGGCGAAGGCGGCCAACUGGGCUUUAACUGACGCUGAGGCUCGAAAGUGUGGGGAGCAAACAGGAUUAGAUACCCCAGUAGUC
rnacentral:rRNA from 1 species